UCCCUGGCAGUCCAGUGACUAGGACUCAGCACUUUUAUUGCUAUGACCCAGGUUUAAUCCCUGGUUGGGGAA
rnacentral:tRNA from 1 species